UUGCCUUUUUUCUACAGAGCAAACACGCAUACGUUCAUUGAAAUGUCAAAGCAAGUACAAACACACACGUGCACCACAACACCCUAGAGCAGAACUCACAUGGAGCUUUAGACAAAGGCCCCAGAAAAAAGAAAAAUAUAACAUAGCCCUUGAAGUUGUGAGAACACCAACGCUCACCAAUGCCCGUCAACGCCACUGAAGAAACCAUCGGAGAGUGAGAGUCCCGUCGUAGAAUAGAUUAGCACCUUUGUAGCAAACCGCUUUUGCGGUCCUCAAGUGUGAUCCGCCGUAGAACGAUGGAGACCUUCCGAUGUGGCUUGUCAGCUGGAGCAGAUCUCCAGUCUCAUCCAUCUCCAAAUCCGCUACCAGCCGACUCCGGCCAGAGGCAUCAUCGGAUAUGCCGCCUUCUCCCGCAAACCCAGCACCAGAACAGCUGCCUUCUGAGAACUGUCGUCGUGGUCGACAAGGACGAUGCUCGCCGGCCACCUCCUGUACAAGACCUCACAAACUCCGCAUCGAUACCCAAGGGCGUGUCACUAUGAGGCCAAGUGGGAGGACCAAAAGCCAAAUGGAGUUGCCUUCGGUAUGCUAGUUAGUCCAGUAACAGAACAAUCGACAAAUCAUGUCUAUAUGGUUCCCUGAUAGUUGCAUACUGUGUGAAGGAACACAGAGG
rnacentral:lncRNA from 1 species